GCGGUCGCCUGCCAGCCAGGAAGAGGACCUUCGCCAGACCCUGUAUCUGCCCGCACCUUGACCUGGGACUUCCCAGCCUCCAGAACUCAGCCAUUCAGACAUCCAUUUACCAAAUGCUCCCCGCGAUGUGCCCGAUCCUGUGCUGGGCUCGGAUGAUGAAGCCGAGAGGACCGCCCCCCUCCGCCCUCACGGAGCUCACAUUUGAUUGGCAGAGACAGACAGCAGGCGAAUAAAGGAAUCCACACCUAAGACAAGGUCUUGCUCUGUCACCUGGGCUGGAG
rnacentral:lncRNA from 1 species